UGGGGAAUAUUGGACAAUGGGGGGAACCCUGAUCCAGCAAUGCCGCGUGUGUGAAGAAGGCCUGAGGGUUGUAAAGCACUUUCAGUAGGGAGGAGGUUACUUAGGUUAAGAGCUAGAGUGAUGGACGUUACCUACAGAAGAAGCACCGGCUAACUCCGUGCCAGCAGCCGCGGUAAUACGGAGGGUGCAAGCGUUAAUCGGAAUUACUGGGCGUAAAGCGUGCGUAGGUGGUUGAAUAAGUUAUCUGUGAAAUCCCUGGGCUCAACCUGGGCAGGUCAGAUAAUACUGUUUGACUCGAGUAUGGGAGAGGGUAGUGGAAUUUCCGGUGUAGCGGUGAAAUGCGUAGAGAUCGGAAGGAACACCAGUGGCGAAGGCGGCUACCUGGCCUAAUACUGACACUGAGGCACGAAAGCGUGGGGAGCAAACAGGAUUAGAUACCCCCGUAGUCC
rnacentral:rRNA from 1 species